rnacentral:pre_miRNA from 1 species
UUAACUCAAAUUUGUAUGGAGUUGGAAUGUUUGCCUAAGUUUGUCGCUAGAAGUGCUGUUCCAACUGCAUACGUUUUAUGCA